CCGGCACAACAAGAAGAAUAUUUUCACAUAAUUUUACAAAAUAUGAUCAAACUCCUUUUUUAAGAGGCUCAUUUUCGUUACAUCUCACGGUCUUCCAAAAAUUUUAUAUUUAACAAAUGUUACAAACAUGAGAGGCUUGUGCACCGAUAGGAUUGGAAGAAAAACAAGCACCAAAAAGGAAAUAUCGGAACCGAACUUCACAAUCUGCUUGACUAGGAGUAAGUGCAUCAUGCAGUUACAUAUGUGUUAAGUAAUUUAGAAGUAACACUUUAAAGGAAAUUCCGACCAAAUUUAGAAAUUCAUUUCAAUUCUGAAUGGAACGGCAGGUUACACAAACUUGGACAACUAGCCUUGAAAUAAAAUUGAAAACUCAAAACAAAGUUAGGCUGGAUAUCUGGCCUGAAUCCUCAAAUGAAUACAGUACUCCAUAAUUACUUUAGUACAGAAUAAUGACCCAGUGAACAACAAGUAAUUGAAAGUUGUUAACAGUGUUAGAAACCUAGUUUUGGUAAAAU
rnacentral:lncRNA from 1 species